UUUCACAUAUUUUGGCAUACUAUACUAUGACUUUUAUUUUCACAUAUUUUGGCAUACAAUACUAUGACUUUUAUUUUUGACAUAUUUUGGCAUACUAUACUAUGACUUUAAUUUUGACAUAUUCUGAUUUAAAAUGGGGAAAUGCUUUUGUCAAAUGGUCUACUAUACGCACAAUACUCCACGUGGUUAUUUCAUGUCGACUUUACGUUGCGUGACCCACGUACUCUCUUGUCUCUCGUGCUUUUCACCUCGGGUUGUUUAUUGUCAUUUUUAGAAUAGCCAAGAAUUGUUUAUCGAGACCGAAUUCUGCCCACAACUUCUUGAAUAUGAGGAUUUCCUGCUUGGCUUUACUUCACCUCUCUUGUAAAUGUAAUCUCUUGUGUUUCAGACUGUUACAAAGACGCUUCUUUAAGCUCUGGGAAAAGUGAGAUGGGCGUCUUUGAUUGACGUCUAACUUUGUUAAGUUGCAGCCGGUUAAGAAUAAACUAUAAGGCCGGGUUUGUUGCUUCUAUCUAUACCUUUUCAGUCUUUCUCUUUUGUAUAUUAUAUAGAAUAAUAUUGUAUUGUAUUUGAUUGACUGAAUAAAAUACACAAACAAAAUACACAAACAAAAUGUUAAUGCACAUUAUACACACACACAUAGUUUAACCACUUUAACACAAGAAGCUUACAAUGAAUGUGUUUUAAAUGUUUAUUUGUUGUGACUCCACUAGCAGUGUAUCAAAUAAACAUUAAGGUUAUAUAGUUAACCUUGAAUUGGUAUACAUUGUUAAAUUCUUGCCCUGAAAAAGUUGAUAAUCUGGAAGAUCCAUUCCAGGGGUUUGAAGUAGUUUUGGUCAGGGUUUGUGUCGGGAUACCCGAUAAGGAGUGAAAAAUCAGUUUUAUUUUCCUUUGUUGCUCCUCCACCAUGGUUCUACUGGUCUCCACCUGCUCCCUCACAAACAUUGAGCUCUUUUUAUACCCCUGGUGACUAAUUGGACCGAACCAAUACCAUCUAUAGAGGUCAGUUUAUCCAUCGCAAAAUGUACGCUAAUAUAUUUACACGCUUUUACUAACCCCCAAAAUAUCUAUAUUAAUUUACAGCCACAUUUAGACUUCCUAUAACUCAAGUAAAUAAUAAAUCCAUUGUUUUACUUUUAUAAACACAGCAACACAUGGCUUCACUUCCCCCUACCGAUUCCUUCAGUUGGUAUUUCCCGGACCUAUAAAUCGGCGGUCAUGGACCUUGGGAACUAUUUUGCCAGAUCACCAUGGAGAGAGGAGGCAGGUUCCAGAGAUCCCUGGGAGGAAGACACCAGUAACAGGUCCCUGGACGGUGUGCAGCUGUUGGUCUGUAACUCGCCAAUGGACAUCGAGCUGACCCCCAACGUGGCGGUGAGAGGGCGGAGGAGCCGCUGCAGAAGGAGGCCGGAGGAGUGAGUCGAGUUUCUGCUGCUCGUGGGCGCCCCCUGCGUGGCAGAAAGAAUACUGCAGCUGCCUUUUGGGUAUAUUUAUAAGUCCUACUUUUUUUAACCUCAAUGUGUUUCUGCAAUUAUGUUCAACGUCCCCGCUGCUCAUCCUGUAUCAUCUGGUCAGAUACCAAAGGCCUCAUAGUGUAUAAUCAAUGCUCUGAUGGCUCCAUGUAGUUUCAUUCAUAUCUGGCUGUGGGCUAAUACUAAUAUUACUGCCAUUUGUUAAGUGUUGAAAGUUAACCAUACAGAUGUUUUAUUUAUUACUAUUAUUGAUAAAUAUACCAGCCUCGUAUUUAUGGUAUGUUAUGGAAUUCUGGUAUCGGGUAUCAUGAUAUUUAUGGCAGGUAUCGUAUAGAAGUCAGGGUCGGGAACCUAUAGCUCUUCCGGUGGCAGUAUGCGUGCAUGCGGGUUAUUCGCACAAGUCAAAAAUUAUUAAACCGAAUCGUAUGAAAUUUGGUGGGAUGAUUGGUUAUUAUCCGGGGACCAUUUGAUUAGAUUUUGGGAUCGAUUGGGGUCAAGGUCAUGAACAGGUCAAAAUCGUAUUUUUACCAUAGCGCGGUCAAUUUUUAUCCAAUUGGCAUGCAACUAAUGCCAAAAUGUUCAUAAUUCAAUGCCCAAUCUUGUGAUAUGCGAAGGUAUGCGCUCUACCGAGUGCCCAUUCUAGUUUCUAAAAUGUAUUUCUGUGAUGCUUGUGUGUUCUCCCCUCCCCCCUUGUGUUCUCUUCAGGUGGCAUCAAUCACCACCUCAACAGGCCAAUCUGACUGCACCUGGAUGCAAGAAGGCGAGCUGGCCAAUCGGCUGAGAGGGCCCUGUUUAAAAGGGGAUGCGAGGUCAGCUCCUGUUGAAGCGCAGGACGGACAGCCUCUCGUUGCCAGCUCUCGUCGACAUGCGCGUCUCCCCCUUCAAG